AAUCCCCGGGCUCAACCUGGGAACUGCAUCUGAUACUGGCAAGCUUGAGUCUCGUAGAGGGGGGUAGAAUUCCAGGUGUAGCGGUGAAAUGCGUAGAGAUCUGGAGGAAUACCGGUGGCGAAGGCGGCCCCCUGGACGAAGACUGACGCUCAGGUGCGAAAGCGUGGGGAGCAAACAGGAUUAGAUACCCUGGUAGUCCACGCCGUAAACGAUGUCGACUUGGAGGUUGUGCCCUUGAGGCGUGGCUUCCGGAGCUAACGCGUUAAGUCGACCGCCUGGGGAGUACGGCCGCAAGGUUAAAACUCAAAUGAAUUGACGGGGGCCCGCACAAGCGGUGGAGCAUGUGGUUUAAUUCGAUGCAACGCGAAGAACCUUACCUGGUCUUGACAUCCACAGAACUUUCCAGAGAUGGAUUGGUGCCUUCGGGAAC
rnacentral:rRNA from 1 species